rnacentral:lncRNA from 1 species
GAUGUUUAUACAUAUAUUGAUAUAUAUUUUUGAUUAUUUUAUAUCUGAAAAUGAUGUAUAUGAUACAUGGUUUGUACACCCAUGGUCUAAAACUUACUUUUCAGUCAAAUCUUAGAUCUAAAACCAUAGGAUCUUUAUUUUUGUUGCAUGGUAAAGUUGUUUAGAUUUGAAAAUUAUUUCUUAUCUAAAUUGAAACUUUAAAUGAUGCAAAGCAAAUAUGAAAUUACGACUGGUCCAUAAUGCAUAAUGCACUUAAUUAAGAAUUAAGAUUUGAAUUUAAAGGAUCUAAAAUUGUGAAUUCAGGAUCUAAAUUUUAAUUGCAUAAAACAUGGACUUGGAUAUAGGUUGAACCAAUUAGGUCUAAAGAUUAACUACAAUAGGAUCCAUGAUUAGAUCAGGUUAGAACCUUUUUUUCAAUUUUGAGUAGUUGAUCGAACACAAUCAGAUAUUGAUGGGUUUGAGUUAAUAGGGGCUCAAAAUUGAGAUUAGUUGUAGUUGAUCAAUCGAUUCGUACUUGAUGUAAAUUGAUUAUCUCAAGACUGAAUUUGGCUCCUUGGUUGGAGCUUGAAUAAUUAAGUCAAUGGAUUUGAUUCUAAUAGACCAUUUGGUGUCUAAGGUAAGUUUGACAUUCCUGACCGGUGGUCUUUAAUUGAGAGCUACUCACAUAGAUGACAUCUAUGGUGAGUUAAUGGCAUAUUCCUCCCAUCGAUCUCACUUACCUAGUCAUUUGGUAGAUUAUGGAUUGAGUCUAGUUGAUUAGUGAUUCGUAUUCACCCAUGCCAACUAGAUGGGCCAAACAUAAGAUGGGCUGACCUAAACCAGUUUAGUUAUUACAUUUAAUGUAUGUGACUAAGUAGAUGAGACCUAAAUUAAAUCUCUUCGAUUGAAUAUUAUGUCUAGCGGUCUUCCAUCAUUGUAGAGAUGUGGAUGCCUUUCCUAACGUUGAUCGUUCUCGAUUGGUUACAGUGGUUUGAUUGUAUCAGAGAGGCACAACCACUCUAUUGACAUCUGAUGCCCCGAGAUGAAGAUGGGGUUGGACUCAAUAACUAUUAGGUGAGGGAUCCAACGAUGGCUCUACAUCCACUUGUGAAUGAUGGGUCAGACUUAACUAAAAAAUGUACCAAUAACUGUUAGGUGAGACUACAGGACUUAGAGAUCAAGUCGCUGCAACAUGUUUGGAGAAGCAUCUGGACAAAGAGUUAUCCACACAUUGGUGUACGUGUCCUCAAAAAUUGUUAGGUAAGGUGCUGUACAUCGAUGAGACCACAGUACCCACUAGAACCACUUAUCGCAUUAGAGUUUCUAUUUCUCGACCCGAAGAGUAUGAGAGAUUCAAAAAAUUAGUGGGAGCCUUUGGUUAUUUUUUAAGUCUCUAGAAUAAAUUUUUACAAGUACAAUCAUCUGAUUAAAUCUUUACUCUCUGUAGUUAAUUCUGUCAGCUUCCAACCCUUUAGUUUGAAUCCUAGAUGUCAACCAUUUAACUGAAACCAAUUACAUAUUCUGGUUCAAAAACCUAAGAAUAGUUCUUAAUUUUUAAAAAUUAAGUCAUGUUCUUGACUAGAUUAACCCAAUGUCAUUAACUUAUCCAAUCCACAGUCAACAAGCUAUACUUGAUAAAUGGUUAGAUAUUGACAAUUAGAUUAGGUACUAUAAAUUGGAGUCC